rnacentral:rRNA from 1 species
GACGGUGAGUAACACGUGAGAAUGUACCCCAGAGUGAGGAAUAACUGCCCGAAAGGGUGGCUAAUACCGCAUACGGUCUUUCGGAUUAAAGCCUUCGGGCGCUUUGGGAACAGCUUGCGUACGAUUAGAUAGUUGGUGGGGUAAAGGCUCACCAAGUCAACGAUCGUUAACUGGUCUGAGAGGAUGAUCAGUCAGACUGGAACUGAGAUACGGUCCAGACUCUACGGGAGGCAGCAGUGAGGAAUCUUCCACAAUGGGGGCAACCCUGAUGGAGCAACGCCGCGUGCAGGAUGAAGGCCUUCGGGUCGUAAACUGCUUUUAUAGGUGAAUAAUAUGAAUGUAGCUUAUGAAUAAGCACCGGCUAACUACGUGCCAGCAGCCGCGGUCAUACGUAGGGUGCAAGCAUUAUCCGGAGUGACUGGGCGUAAAGAGUUGCGUAGGUGGUUUGUCAAGUGAAUAGUGAAAUCUGGUGGCUCAACCACACAGACUAUUAUUCAAACUGGCAAACUCGAGAAUAGCAGAGGUAACUGGAAUUUCUAGUGUAGGAGUGAAAUCCGUAGAUAUUAGAAGGAACACCAAUGGCGUAGGCAGGUUACUGGGCUAUUUCUGACACUGAGGCACGAAAGCAUGGGGAGCGAACCGGAUUAGAUACCCGGGUAGUCCAUGCUGUAAACGAUGGAUACUAGCUGUUAGAGGUAUCGACCCCUUUAGUAGCGUAGCUAACGCGUUAAGUAUCCCGCCCUGUGGAGUACGGUCGCAAGACUAAACAUUAAGGAUUGACGGGACCCGCACAA